rnacentral:rRNA from 1 species
AGAGUGCGUAAUAGCUCACUGGUCAAGCGAUCCUGCGCCGAAAAUGAACGGGGCUAAAUGAUGUACCGAAGCUGUGGGAUUUAUCUAUCGAUGAAUCGGUAGGGGAGCGUUCUGUUGUAGUGUGAAGUCGUAGCGGCAAGCAGCGAUGGACGAAGCAGAAGUGAGAAUGUCGGCUUGAGUAGCGAAAACAUUGGUGAGAAUCCAAUGCCCUGAAAUCCUAAGGGUUCCUCCGGAAGGCUCGUCCGCGGAGGGUUAGUCGGGUCCUAAGGCGAGGCAGAAGUGCGUAGUCGAUGGAUAACUGGUUAAUAUUCCAGUACUCGAUUUUGGAUUGUGCAGAGGGACGGAGCAGGCUAAUGAAGCCGCAUGUUGGUUAGCGGUUCAAGCGUCCGAGGCUUUGAGGAACGGUGAAAACGUUCUGAGCUGAGGCGUGAGUACUAUUUCCUACGGGAGAGAAGUUCAUGACGUCAUACUUUCUAGAAAAGCUCUAAACACGUUAAUCCAAAGUCACCCGUACCCUAAACCGACACAGGUGGGAUGGUUGAGAAUACUAAAGGGCGCGAGUUAACUCUCUCUAAGGAACUCGGCAAAAUGGCCCCGUAACUUCGGGAGAAGGGGUGCCCACGCAAGUGGGUCGCAGUGAAGAGUCCCAGGCGACUGUUUACCAAAAACACAGGUCUCCGCUAAGUCGUAAGACGAUGUAUGGGGGCUGACGCCUGCCCAGUGCCGGAAGGUUAAAGAAGUUGGUCAGGGAGCAAUCCUAAAGCUAGCGACUGAAGCCCCGGUGAACGGCGGCCGUAACUAUAACGGUCCUAAGGUAGCGAAAUUCCUUGUCGGGUAAGUUCCGACCCGCACGAAAGGCGUAACGAUCUGGGAGCUGUCUCGGAGAGAGACUCGGCGAAAUAGGAUUGUCUGUGAAGAUACGGACUACCUGCACCUGGACAGAAAGACCCUAUGAAGCUUUACUGUAGCUUGGUAUUGGGUUCGGGCUUUGACUGCGCAGAAUAGGUGGGAGGCUUUGAGACGGUCCUUGUGGGGAUCGUGGAGCCAUCCGUGAGAUACCACUCUGUUAAGGCUAGAAUUCUAACCCUCACCCGUCAUCCGGGGAGGGAACAUUAUCAGGUGGGCAGUUUGACUGGGGCGGUCGCCUCCUAAAUGGUAACGGAGGCGCGCAAAGGUUCUCUCAGGCUGGUCGGAAAUCAGCCGUUGAGUGCAAAAGCAUAAGAGAGCUUGACUGUGAGACGUACAUGUCGAACAGGUACGAAAGUAGGCUUUAGUGAUCCGACGGUUCCGCGUGGAAGGGCCGUCGCUAAACGGAUAAAAGUUACUCUAGGGAUAACAGGCUGAUCUCCCCCAAGAGUUCACAUCGACGGGGAGGUUUGGCACCUCGAUGUCGGCUCAUCGCAACCUGGGGCGGUAGUACGUCCCAAGGGUUGGGCUGUUCGCCCAUUAAAGCGGUACGUGAGCUGGGUUCAGAACGUCGUGAGACAGUUCGGUCCAUAUCCGGUGCAGGCGUAGGAGUAUUGAGAGGAUCCUUCCUUAGUACGAGAGGACCGGGAAGGACGCACCGCUGGUGUACCUGUUAUCGUGCCAACGGUAAACGCAGGGUAGCCAUGUGCGGAGUGGAUAACCGCUGAAAGCAUCUAAGUGGGAAGCCCACCUCAAGAUGAGUACUCCCAUGGGGUUAACCCAGUAAGGUCACGGGAAGAACACCCGUUGAUAGGCUACAGAUGGAAGUCCAGUAAUGGAUGCAGUCGAGUAGUACUAAUAGACCGAGGGCUUGUCCU